rnacentral:rRNA from 1 species
AGUCGAGCGGUAGAGAGAAGCUUGCUUCUCUUGAGAGCGGCGGACGGGUGAGUAAUGCCUAGGAAUCUGCCUGGUAGUGGGGGAUAACGUUCGGAAACGGACGCUAAUACCGCAUACGUCCUACGGGAGAAAGCAGGGGACCUUCGGGCCUUGCGCUAUCAGAUGAGCCUAGGUCGGAUUAGCUAGUUGGUGAGGUAAUGGCUCACCAAGGCGACGAUCCGUAACUGGUCUGAGAGGAUGAUCAGUCACACUGGAACUGAGACACGGUCCAGACUCCUACGGGAGGCAGCAGUGGGGAAUAUUGGACAAUGGGCGAAAGCCUGAUCCAGCCAUGCCGCGUGUGUGAAGAAGGUCUUCGGAUUGUAAAGCACUUUAAGUUGGGAGGAAGGGCAUUAACCUAAUACGUUAGUGUUUUGACGUUACCGACAGAAUAAGCACCGGCUAACUCUGUGCCAGCAGCCGCGGUAAUACAGAGGGUGCAAGCGUUAAUCGGAAUUACUGGGCGUAAAGCGCGCGUAGGUGGUUUGUUAAGUUGGAUGUGAAAUCCCCGGGCUCAACCUGGGAACUGCAUUCAAAACUGANNNNNNANAGUNUGGUANAGGGNGGNGGAAUUUCCUGUGU